rnacentral:rRNA from 1 species
UGACGGUACCUCUUGAAUAAGCUCCGGCUAACUACGUGCCAGCAGCCGCGGUAAUACGUAGGUGGCAAGCGUUAUCCGGAUUUAUUGGGCGUAAAGGGAACGCAGGCGGUUUUUUAAGUCUGAUGUGAAAGCCUUCGGCUUAACCGGAGAAUAGCAUUGGAAACUGGAAGACUUGAGUGCAGAAGAGGAGAGUGGAACUCCAUGUGUAGCGGUGAAAUGCGUAGAUAUAUGGAAGAACACCAGUGGCGAAAGCGGCUCUCUGGUCUGUAACUGACGCUGAGGUUCGAAAGCGUGGGUAGCAAACAGGAUUAGAUACCCUG